UACGGGGGGGGCAAGCGUUGUUCGGAAUUACUGGGCGUAAAGGGCGCGUAGGCGGCCUACUAAGUCGGACGUGAAAUCCCUCGGCUCAACCGAGGAACUGCGUCCGAUACUGGCAGGCUGGAAUCCGGGAGAGGGAUGUGGAAUUCCAGGUGUAGCGGUGAAAUGCGUAGAUAUCUGGAGGAACACCGGUGGCGAAGGCGGCAUCCUGGACCGGUAUUGACGCUGAGGCGCGAAAGCUAGGGUAGCAAACGGG
rnacentral:rRNA from 1 species